UACGAAGGGGGCUAGCGUUGCUCGGAAUCACUGGGCGUAAAGGGUGCGUAGGCGGGUCUUUAAGUCUGGGGUGAAAUCCUGGAGCUCAACUCCAGAACUGCCUUUGAUACUGAAGAUCUUGAGUUCGGGAGAGGUGAGUGGAACUGCGAGUGUAGAGGUGAAAUUCGUAGAUAUUCGCAAGAACACCAGUGGCGAAGGCGGCUCACUGGCCCGAUACUGACGCUGAGGUGCGAAAGCGUGGGGAGCAAACAGG
rnacentral:rRNA from 1 species